GCUUAUCAAUGACUAUUUUAAGUAUAAAUUUGAUUUAAAUCGUUGGAGCCAUUUGUAACAAAUAAAUGGGAUGAUGGGCGAUCGACGCCUUCACCAUAUGUAACAAAUAAAAGAAUAAAGAGAAAUGACCAGUCUAACGAAAAGAUUAUAAGUGUUUUGUUAUGUGUUAUUUCAUCAUCUAUAUAUGUUCUUCACAUUAAUGUGAUUUAUUCAAAUAAUCAAUUCGUUACUAGGCCUACUGAUCGAUUGUAUUCUUCUUAGUGGUUAGUGCCUCUACUCGAUGUUUGGUAAAGC